CUCGGAUGAUCAGUCUUGGUGAGCAGACAGUUAACUCAAAUGAUGGGGUAGCCUCAGUUCCUAAGACGCGGGCAAGGAAGUAACGGCAAUGUCCAGCUUUCUCAUGGACCCUGCUGCUGAAGCUGGACCCCUCCACUGUCUUUCCCUAUGAAGACAGGGACCAGCACUUACCACCACCACCUACGAGCCACCAGCUGCUCCUUCCUGAGAAGGGCUGUGGGAGGACAGCCAAGAGAAGAGUGUCCUAUUAGCUGGAAAACACUGUGGAGAAGCCAAAUAUCAUCACUGUCACUGUUGUAGGUAAGCCCCCAGCACAGUGGCUAGCACCUGCACUCUGGAGUUAGACCAAUCCGGGUUCAAGUCCCAGGUCUGCCACUUACUGGUGGGCUAACCCUGGGCAAAUUACUAACCCUAUUUGAGGCUCAGUUUCCCCUCCGUUACCGUGUUGUGGGAAUGAUGAUGCUUCCUACCUCAUCCUACGGUUGUUAUGAGGUUUAAACAUAAAUGUGAUGUGUCUCUCGGCAUGGCGCCCAGCAUCUUGGAAGGGC
rnacentral:lncRNA from 1 species